UUUGCCAAUAACAAUCGUAUAGGUUUUCUCAUUCGACUCAUUUAUCCUACUCGCUUUAAUUAACUGGACCGACGAUUCUUUCUUCCUAUUUUCAAACAGACUGCCUAUUUCUUUUCAAUUCGAACUAAAUCCGACUCAAUGGUAUAUCAGGCAAUCUUCUAUUUUCGAAUAAACACACCAAUAUUCUGUGUAUUUUCGAUGCAUGUUCUCAAAUAAUACGGCUAUAAGUAAACUUCAUUUAGGUAUAAAAGUAGAAUAUAAUUAGAUAUAAAAGUAAUUAAUAAUUGAACGUGUUCACGAAAAUGUGACUUGACUUGUCACUAACGCACUAUAAGUGAAAAGUUACGACGUAUAACAAUAAUUACAUAACUUGAUACAAAUUAAGACACAAACACUCUUCUUAUUGACAUCGAUCGUCAACAUAUUCCUUGAGGAAGAUGUCCACCAAAGACGAACCGAAAUUCGAGUCAGUUACGAAAGCACAGUCAGUGGAGAGCUCCGUGAGUUUGGAAUGCAUGAUAAAACCCAGCGACGAAUUUCUUCAAGUUUUCGAAUUAACAAACACAUUUUAUACAAAUAAAAGUACUCUUAAAAAACAAAUCAAGACAAUGGAAACGAAAAUAGACAAAUUAUAUAACAAGGUCAUCAACUCGGAAAACGCAACAUUAUAACUCUUGCAUAUUGUUACCAAAAUUUAUGUCAUGGUUACAUUAAGUCAAAUCAGAAAGAGGGACUACGUAUAGGAAAAACUUCUAUUCUGCGUUGUUUAAAUUUGGUGAAAGCAAAAGAAAUCAGAAGAAGCUCUACAAACAUGUAAUAAAGCUAUAGAAUUAUAUUUGACAUAUACACGCGAAAAUGAAAAAUACGCAAGUCUUAUUGAUUUUGAAGCAACUGAGUUGAAUACAUUAGAAGAAACGAAAAAAUAUCUUCAGUGGAUUGAAGAAGUAUUGAAGAUGUGCAGGAAUUUAUUAAAGUACGAUCGUUUUGCAGAAGCCAGGAAUUGUAUUGUUACUGCAACUAAUGUGAGAGUCAUUUAUUCCCAUAAAAUAUCUCAUAAUAUAGUGAGACAGGAAUUAUCCUCAGAAAAGCUGAAGCUAAAUGAAAUCAUAAGAUUGAAUGAACGUAUUUAUUGUGACUUGGCAAAACUUUGUGAUUAGGCUUUUGCGUAGAUCGGUAGAACGAUUGGUACGAUUAGAAAAAGACGAAGAAUUUGGAGUCAAUAACUUAAAAUCAGAACAUCUAACAAAAUCAAAGGAAUAUGUAUCAUAGAGAUUACUAUUAUUCAAUGAAAUAGAACGGAAAUUCCGCUUCCGCAUGUCGAUCGACUCGUACCGGUUAAAUACAUUACUCAUUAUGAUGAUGCAAACAAAUUAUUUAUCAGUAACUUCUGGAAUAUUUCCCUUGUAAAAUCUUGUGUUGAUAGCGAGAAGGAUUUAAAAACAUAUUUAGGAAUUAUGUUAGAUUCCAGCAAAAUAUAUAAAUAUAUGGCACUCCAUGAAAAGGACGUAACCAGGCGGAACUUACUACAAAAUGAGUAAGUAGAUAUUUUAUCGGAAAUUGUAGAAAACAAAAUGUUUUUGAAGCGUCCUGACAUGUUGAGUUGUAUACAGUUACACUUAGCGAUUGCUUAUUCAACUUUGAUAGAAGUAAAACUUGAAAAUUUGGACGCAAUUCACCCACUAUACAUGCCACAAAGACAUAACGCAAUUAUGUUUGAAAUCGAAUACCUAGUAAGAAAUGGCUUGACAAAUUUAAAAAUGAGUACGACAUUUGUAUAGUUUAUGUUAAGUAAUAAAUUUUGAAUAGGUUAAUUGAAAAUAAAGAAAAAACGAGGUUAUAAAUUUUUAUAAUAUGUAGUUUAAUGAAAGGAUUGUUUAAUGGAAAAUACAAUGUUACAACAUGUUUAUUUGUGCGUAUAUUAAACUGAUUAAUAUUGUGUGAUAAAUUGAUAACUUUUACAAAAAAACGACAUAAUUUUGUAAAUAACUCAAAAUAUCUAAUGAUCAUCUUGGACGUUUUCAAAAUAUCUUGAGAGAUAUUUUUCAGAGAUAUUUUUCAGAGAUAUUUUUUAUUAUUUAAAUAUUUACUUGAUUAUAAACAAAGAUAAGAAAUGUUUAAAUAUAGUUACUGUGAAUCAGUAAGUCAAUUUCGUUCUAAUAAAAAUUUCACGAGAAUAAUAUGUAAUAUAAAAUAUAUAUAAGGACUUAAAAUGUACGAGGGUGGU